AUGCGGUUUGGCGAUGUGUUAAUCUCAUUCCCUAACGCUGUGCCCUGCGGAGUGAAGCUUGCGUCAGCAUUUGGAAGUAUAUUAAUGAAUCCGGAUGAUGAUUAUGUUUUAAGAGAAGGUGAUGAGAUCCUUGUUAUAGCAGAAGAUGAUGAUACUUAUGCACCUGCUCCUCUACCAGAGCUGCAUAAGGGUUUUCUACCUAACGUUCCCACCCCUCCUAAAUAUCCAGAGAAAAUUUUGUUCUGUGGUUGGCGACGUGACAUUCACCAUAUGAUAAUGGUUCUAGAAGCAUUUCUUGCUCCGGGCUCUGAAUUGUGGAUGUUCAAUGAGGUGCCAGAGAAGGCGAGGGAGGCAAAACUGACUGACAGUGGUAUGGAUAUUCUUGGACUAACAAACAUUAAACUUGUACACAAAGAAGGGAAUGUUGCCAUCAGGCGGCACUUAGAAAGCUUGCCUCUUGAGACCUUUGAUUCUAUUUUAAUUCUUGCAGAUGAGUCGGUGGAGGACUCCGUUGUACAAUCGGAUUCACGGUCCAUAGCUACACUUCUUCUAAUUCGUGACAUUCAGUCCAGACGUCUUCCAUCAUCGAAGGAGUCAAAAUCACCUCUACAUCACAAUAGCUUCUCUCACAGCUCAUGGAUUCAGAAGAUGCAACAUGCAUCGGACAGAUCAAUAAUAAUCAGUGAGAUACUGGACUCAAGAACUAGAAACCUUGUAUCUGUCUCCAAAAUCAGCGAUUACGUCCUGUCAAAUGAACUUGUCAGUAUGGCAUUAGCAAUGGUAGCAGAAGACAAGCAAAUCAACAGAGUUCUCCAGGAACUUUUCGCUGAGGAGGGCAACGAGAUGUGCAUACGGUCUGCUGAGUUUUACCUGUACGAACAAGAGGAGUUAAGUUUCCUGGACAUAAUGGUGAGGGCUCGUGAGAGAGACGAGAUUGUGAUCGGCUAUCGGCUUGCAAACACCGAUGAGGCAAUCAUUAAUCCAGAGCAUAAGUCAGAGAUUAAGAAGUGGUCUUUAGACGACAUGUUUGUUGUGAUCGCGAAAGGUGACUGA
rnacentral:rRNA from 1 species